rnacentral:lncRNA from 1 species
CUGCAAUGAGGUCACCCUGCAGCCUUCUCUUCUCCAGGCUCAACAAGCCCAGCUCCCUCAGCCUGUCUUUGUAGGGGAGGUGCUGCAGCCCUCUGAGCAUCUCUGUGUCCUCCUCUGGACCCUCUCCAACAGCUCCCUGCCUUUCCUGUAUUGGGGGCCCCACCCCUGGAGGCAGUGCUGCAGAUGGGGCCCCAUAAGGGCAGAGCAGAGAGGGACAAUCCCCUCCCUGUCCCUGCUGGCCACCCCUCUGCUGAUGGAGGCCAGGAUCCCAUU